rnacentral:rRNA from 1 species
CAGCAGCCGCGGUAAUACGAAGGGUGCAAGCGUUACUCGGAAUUACUGGGCGUAAAGCGUGCGUAGGUGGUGGUUUAAGUCCGCUGUGAAAGCCCUGGGCUCAACCUGGGAAUUGCAGUGGAUACUGGAUCACUAGAGUGUGGUAGAGGAUAGUGGAAUUUCCGGUGUAGCAGUGAAAUGCGUAGAGAUCGGAAGGAACAUCUGUAGCGAAGGCGACUAUCUGGGCCAACACUGACACUGAGGCACGAAAGCGUGGGGAGCAAACAGGAUUAGAUACCCCUGUAGUCCCUGUCUCUUAUAC